GCUGCCGUGGCUAAUUGCUAGCUAGCAUGUGGGCAAAAAGGGCAGUUUUCUGGGUAAACUAGCAGUAUUUCAAUGUUCUCGAAGGAGCAGUGUGGAUAAAGGUACAAUUUGGAGUAUAGUGGCGUAUCCCAUCUCUGCAUUGAGGUGUAUGACUACUGGCUGGAGGACAUGUACUUGAAUAACAGAAUGGCAUUGCCUGUCAACUCCAGCUCUGUUAUGGUCUUCCCCAAGCAGAACUUCGGGGCUCCCAUUGACUCCCUCAGGUGCGGCGAUCUGGGAGAGCGGAGGACCACAGCGCCAGUGGCACUCUAGUGGCACGAGAGGACAUUCUCUUGCACGCUGUCGUCUGUGUUCUUUUGGGUCUGGAGGCGGCAGGCAGGGCACACUCGCGUC